UUGACACAGUCCAGCGAUUUUAUUUGCUGCAUGAAAGAAUGCAACGAGUGUUUUCACUCGACAAAAUUGAAUGCAUUAGAAACGUACAUGGAACCGGCCAUUUUAACCUGGAAAGAACAUGCAUAUGUACUUUCUGUCAUGGCAGUGACUUCUCCUGAUAAUAUGCAACGACCAAUGUCUUGCUUAUAACACCAAAUAGUUGUGAAUUGACUGACAAAUUUGAACUAAACCUGUAUCAGUUGCUGAAGCCGAGACUCCCUGCUAUUAUGGAUACACACGUGUGUUUGGUGUUAAUCAGUAUACUGAUUUUAUUGAUGGCACAAAAUGUCAAUGGACAAGGUUAGGUGCUCAAUGGUUUGAAAUACAACGAAUACCAAACGGUGAAGAUGUAGGACUGAUAUAUCUACGUGUUCUGUAAUUAACUACGAUAUUAUUUAUAUGACACGUGCCAUCAACUCGUGUAAAUAUAUCUAAAAACUAAAUGUAAAGAUUAAAAUUUUGUUUAUAGGUCACCAUUUCGGAGGUCAUAGAAAUUCUACUCAAAUUUCAAAAGGUAAGAUCACUUAGUAUGCGAUGCGAAAAACAGCGGUAUAUUGGGAGGGGAUUUGAUCAUUUAUUGGAGAGGUUCAACGUUCAAAAGUUUGACUACACCACGGUACACACGCGUAAAAAUCUCACUUCUUGAAGCAAGUCUGCUGUCAACAAAUUGUGUUCGCACUGCUUGUCCCAAGUUGUCAACAAGUUUGGAACAAGCUGUUAUAAACAACUUGUAACAACCUUGUUGAUAUUAUCAGACUUGUUGCAAGGUUGUUCCAACAAGUCCAAUACAGUCAUGAUUAAAACAAUAUUGUUACAACCUUGUGUCGUCAGCCUUGUAACAUUCUUGUUAUAUCAUGACUGUAUCAGGCUUGUUAGAACAACUUUGUGACAAGUAUGAUAAUGCGAUCAAGAUUGUUAGAAGUUGUUAACAGCUUGUUCCAAACUUGUUACAACAACUGGGAACAAGCACGCAGUGCGAACACAACUUGUCGACAGCUUGUGAACAGAUUUGUAGCAACUUGUUUGCAGACUUGUAACAACUUGUGCGUUUCAACGUGUGUAGCCCCAGGCUCCCUGAGCUGGGCCUGAAAAAAUCAUAUGUUGGUUCUUUCAUUAAUCAUUAUAUUCCAGAGGUUUUUGGCUGCCAGGCGAGUUUGGUGACAAAUAAAGUUGAGAGACGUGGAUUAAUUUAAUUUUCUGGCUCAUGCAUAAAAUCUAAAAUAUUUUGACCAAUAAUAGAUAGCUUAAGAUCUACGACGUCGACGUCAGCUAGGACGUCAGGGCUAUGCAGAGGACUGGGAUAGGAUGUCGUCCUAAUGUAGUCCCAGUCCUCUGCUUAGCCCUGACGUCCUAGCUGACGUCGACGUCGUAGAUCUUAAGCUAUCUAAUGAAGAUAUAGCACAACAUACUUAACUUGACAUGGAUUUUUGAAAUUCUUUCUAGCCCAGUACCAUCGUAUGUGGCGAAAUAUGUGGACCACAAGUAUCUUUGCAAUUCUUUUCGCUUCAUUUACUUCACUGUUGUUGUUGAAACUUUGUCAAGAAAUUCGCCGAACGAAGAGAAUAAUUAACAGAUCUAGCAUACAGUAAAUAACACUGUGACUUAGAUUUAUCGUCGGUGAAAUCUAUGUCUAUUAUUGAUUACAAAAAAAUAGUAUUAAUAUACGGAUCAUUAACAGAAGACGAAGGACCAAGUCUGGUCUAUACAGUAAAUAAAGAUUUAAGGAUUAUGCAUCCUGGCUUUUAGUCACGAAAAUCCAUCUGAUCAUUACAGUAGACACUUCCGGAAUGUGUUUGUAAUCAUGGGAUAAUGGUACGAGGUCGAGGCUGACAAUGACUUGACGUCGCAACUUUUAAAGGUCUGUUUACAGUUUUUUUGCUGUGAUUUUAGGUGCGAUUUUCUUCUUCUGAUGGAACGAGUGUUAUGAAUGUUCAGAUGAGACUGCGUUUUCAUAACUCGUCUCCUCGUUCACAUGAAUCAGAAGACGAAAUGAAUCGCACUAGAAAUGGCAGCAAAAAUUUCAAGUGUCAACGGGCCUUUAGCAAAAAAAAUAGAUAGUGCCGUCCUGUCAUAAUCCAGUGAUGGAAAUGUUCCAUUCUCUUUUCAUUGUAUUGAAAAUCUCCAUGCCAUUCAGUUUAAACUCAUUGCUUUGCCAUAUUUGCAAGGGUGGGUAGUAGCGAAGUAGUUGUAGUUCGCUACUGUAGCGAACUACAAUUUUCAAGUAGCCAGUAGUUUUUAACUACUUUUUUAAAACAGUAGUUGUAGUUAUAGCGAACUACAAUUUGCCUAAAAGUAGCCAAGUAGUUGACUACUUUUCAAACAACGAAUCGCUAUUCGCUACUUUUUAAAAUUGUUAGCAACCGUUCAUAGAAUAGAAUGAUAUUAAGACACGGUUUGCUUAAUUUAAAAGAUUAUUUUACACAGUAAAGAUAAUUUUAGCGCAAUGAAAAGUGGCACUCCUGAACACUGCAGUGCUUACAAAAAUGUUGCUUUGACCCUUCUUGUUUACUGUUGCUACUCGUAAGUCGAUUUGUUAUAGGUUGUAUUACAGCCUGAGCUAGUGGAUGCUCCAAAUACCAUAAAACUAAAAAAUAUAGCCUUUGUUAAAUAGUAGCAGUAGUUGUAGCUGACUACAUAUUUUUGAAGUAGCUGUAGUUAUAGCGAACUACAAAAAUUUUGUAGUCAACCCACCCUUGCAUAUUUGUGAUUUUAUGCAAAGGCAUAUUGGAUCACGUUGUCAGCCUCGGCUUCAAGAUACUGUAUCAGAAGUGUAGUUAGUGAAGGCCCGUUUACACUUGCAAUUUUUGGUGUUUAUCUUCUGAUGGAUGUGAACGAGUGAAUGCGUUAUGAAUGCUCAGAAGAGGGUGUAUGUGCUCAGAACAGUUAUAACUCAUCUGCUGAUUCACAUCCAUCACAAGAAGUAAUCGCAGCAAAAAUUGCGAGUGUUUAGGAGAGACAUUCAUUUAUCAAAGGAAUUUUUCAGUUAGUGUUGAGUUGACCUUGUACUUGAUUGCCACUUAUAUGAAAUGCAGUUGUGUAAAUGUGAAAAAAAUUUUCAAAAUAUAAUUGUGUGUUGAUCUAUCUGUUCAAACAUGAAUUUAAAUAUCAUCUACAAUUUUAUAAUUCAUAAAUCAUAACUGUCUUUGCCAUGUAUUUCUCGAACAUUUCGCUUCCUUUCAGUCUGGUAUUGAACAAGCACAUUAAUUACGCCAAUUAUAGUUUUAGAUAGAAAUUUAUGAGUUCGUAAACAUCUUUGACUUCGACUUGUUACAAUACACUGUACCGUUUCUUGUACUCUUGUGCCAAUGGCCUCGUUUUUAUGUGCUUAUUACCUCAUGUUUCCUGCACAGUAGGAUUAAUAAUAGGUUUGUGAUUGGUUUCAAGAUAAAAAAACAUAUCCGUGCAGAAACAUGGGGAUAUAUCCUUCAUGCGCGCCUGCCAUGCUAAAACAGGAAAACAUGGAAACGAGGCCAUUCCCUUGCGAGAAUGAAAUGGGGGAAGAGACUGGGAACGAAGUUUGAGUCAAAACAAAAGACUAAAAGAACUCGAACUCGGCUCAACCAAAUGAUUCUAAACUUUUCUUGUCAUUACAGAAUAGAUUGAAAUCUUUAUCGAGUCAAGAGACUAAUUCUCAUUUCAAAUAGUUUAAUGGAUAAAGUAAACAUUUUUAUGCAUUUAUAUCUUUUUGAAUUAUGUUUUUAUAGAACAAUUAAAAUUCCCUACAGACCUAACAAUUCCUAUAUGCUAGUGCCUAAUUUCAAAAUGUCCCAGAAAUUUAAGAAACCCUAAGGCUAGGUACAUCUGUAAAAACGAGCGUUUUCUGGUAUAAAUUGACAUACCAGCAUACUGUAAUUAGUCUGUGCCAUUGAAAAACCCACGCUACUCGUCAUGUAUUGAAAUAUCUAUAAUUACAAUUCCCACAGGAAAUUAUUAAACAUUAUACCUUUAAUAUAAAAACUUUAAGAAAUACAUAAAAAACAAAUAGUAACUUGUACAAAAUAAUAUAUUGCCAAUAAAAUGUGAUUUAAAGAAAUCAAAACUCAGUCAACAAUAUUAAAAUCUAACAUAUUAAUAAAUCAGAUAAGUAUUAGAAAUUGAUUGCUAUAUAAAUUAAGAUUAUAUGAAAUCUUGUUUAUUUCAUUCCUGGAGGUUUGCGAGUACGUUUUGAAGUUUCUCUCUACACAAAGUUCCUGAAAUAAUCACAUCAAAAGGUAGGAAAUUGUCUGAAAGUUUCUACAAAGCAAGCGUAUGGAGUGCCUUGUUGGUUUCUUUGUUUUACAUACCUAGAGAUAUUGUUAUCAAAGAGCUAGGUUUCCGAGUAGCGUAACAUUUGGUGUUAGUAAUAUUUAUCGUACCUGUAAACUAUACUGUGAACGAAAAGAAAUAUAAACAUACAGUAUAUAACAUAUAAUAAAACAAGUUGGUUCAUCAUCAUCAUCAUAUAGGGGGGUCGUCUCGACACUUUACUCCACUCUACUGUGUCGUUGACUUUGUCUAAAUCCAGGGACGCCGGAACUGGGGGGCAGGAGGGGCAGCCGCCCCCGUUGCCCUUUACCAGGAGGGGCAAGGGGGGCAAAGGUGCCCUUUCAAUUUAAAGGAUUCCCUUUGCGAAAUAGCGAAUUGUCAGAAAUGUUAGUGCAAUUCUUUUACGAAUUUGCUUCAGAAAACGCAAGAAAUGCAGUCAUCGAGCUUCAAAAAUAGCACAAUCGCCUGGCGGAGAACCCCCUCACAUCCCUAUCAUCCAAUAAAUAGAAAACAUGAUUAGGCGAAGUUCAACUCCCGAUGUUUUGCAAACAUCUCUUAGUAUAUAUCAAUUCAAAAGUGCCCUUUCACGAAUAUCUGCUCCCCCCCCCUUGCCUUCACAUCGUUCCGGCGUCCCUGUCUAAAUCCACCACUCUCCCAUCAUCCUACCCCUAUUUCUUGUUCCCGGUUCCUUACGCUCCAUUGCGGCCCAUCUAACAAGUUCUCUCACUUCCAUUCUCUUCACGUGUCCGUAUCAUCUCAGUCUACUUUCUCGAAUCUUCUCUCUCAGCUCUAUCACCUUCAAUUCCUGUCUUACGUUUCUCAUUCUAUCUCGUCUUGUUACACCUCUAAUGGCUCUCAUAGUACUGUAAUGUAAUUACCAUCACUCGUCUGAGCUGUUGGAAUCCCCGUAUAUGAAGAAAGUUAGUUAUUAAUGAAUGAAUUUAAUCACUACAGGAUGUACAAGAUGCUUGUUCCAUAAUUUUGUAUACAAAGGGCUUUGUUCGAAUUUGAUAGGAAAUGCGCAAAAGAUUACUUGGUCCACAUUUAUUCGUUUUCGUAGAGUCUAACUACGUGGAACAAGGCGAAAACGCUACGAAAACGGAUUAGUGUGGACAUAGCCUCACUGCUUCGAAUAUAUAAAGCCAAUUUCCAUGGAUUUCACGGUCCGGUAUCGUAUCGUAUCGAACUGUAGCGCAGGGCUGCAUAAAAUAUUUUAUUUUCUGGGACCACAAAGCCAACAAAAAUAUUUUCUGCACGCAAACACUGUGAAUCUUUGUUUAAAUUUGAUCAUCACUAAACAAGGUUCAGUGUAUUCUAUGCACCAUUUCAUUAGAUUUGAAACCAAAAUAGACGUAUUUUACCCAGCUAGCAGUGGUUUCUAGCUGAGCUGCUAGGAGAAACCACUGCGAGCAAACGAAUGAUCGUUUCAUUGUAGCCGCCGUCCAGAUUCAUGGACGAAUACAUUAAAUGAGAAACCAGUAAAACAAGUUUGACAAGCUUUCGUUAUUGUGCGCAUGGGUAACUGCUUGGCACUGCUAGUAAAAUGCGAGCCAGUUGUACUAAAACAACAUGAUCACGCUCUAAAUAUAGUAACAAGCCAUAUAUGCACUACCUUUUACAAAAUAUUAUAACUUUACAAAAUAUUGAAUAAAAUGUUUGAAAUUAUACAUUAAAAUGACUUGAAAACCGCCUAUACAGUUCGACAGAGUAACUAUAAAUUCACACACUGCAACAAAAAAUCAACACCUUUUACAGAAAUAGUAGUGCCGUCGUGACGAUCUUUCAUCAGUUGAAAUUUGUAGCGGUUGAGGUCGCGACGAUCAAAAAUUGCAAUAUUGUCAAAAUCAACAAUAAUUGGAAACCUUAUUAUAUUAUUAUAUUAUUUGGAAACUUUGGAAAUUGGAAUUUAUCGAAAACCUUAACACAAAUAAAGUUUGCAGACCGAAUUUAAAAAAUUGAUAUUGAUCAGAUAAAUACAAAAAUUGAAAAAGAUAUAACAGAAACUCAAAUGCACAAUUUGUAGCGGUGAGGCACCGAUUUCAAAAUCUUUUAGAAGUAAAUUGUGAACUGCAUGUAGAAUAAAAAGUCAGACAGACAACAAAGAAAACAGUACUAUGCCACGCUUUUUUACGUACAGAUAACAAACUGUCAAACUACAGCAAAUGAAGUCAAAUUAGUAUUGUCCCACCCUGUGAUCUUUGUGCAUGCUCGAUAGAAAGUCGUUUGUUUGCUCGCAGUGGUUUCUCCUCAGCUCCGAAACCACUGCCAGCAGGGUAGACGUAUUUCAACAUGGCUACAGAAUAAAUAUUCUUUAUAUUUUAAUUUAACAACAAACAUUUACAUUUUAAUGAAUGAUGAAAGUGACCAAUGGGAACUGUCUGCAGUUUAAGAUUCUAGAUUCUUAUAAUUUUAAUAUAUUUGUUAUGAAUAUCAUCUUAAUUUAAUGGAUGAAAGUUCAUGAGAAGGGCGGAAGGCUGUUGUGUAUUGGACCAUAUUGCUUAGAUUUUUUACUACAUUGUAAGAAAUCACCACACUCAUAGACUUUUUAAUCCACAUACUGUAGUUGUUAAAUGAGUUGUAUUCAUAUAUAACUGGAGUGGUAUUUUCAGAAGUAGCUAAUACACUAGAUGAAAUCAAUUAUAACCGCAUAGAGGAUUUCAUCUUAAUAUCUGCUAGACUGCUGUCUGCCUGUCUUUGACCAUAGUAUCAGGCUGCUGGAGAGCCUCCUGUACCGGUAUAUUGGAAACUUGUAUUACUUGCAUGUUGCAAACAUCACUAGUUCACUACCUACAGCUUAUUAUUCAAUUAUGUCAUUUUUUCUUAUUUUCUUCCUUUCUUUCUUUCUCUUUACUUUUUUUCCUUUGAGACUUUUAAGUUUUACCCUCCAUUUUUUUCUGCAAACCUCAAAAAUUUUCUGGGACCAAUGGUCCCGCGGUCCGCUAUAUUAUGCAGGCCUGCUGUAGCGUAUUUCUUUGUUGGCUGAGCAGUACAGUCCAUGGGCUAAUGACUCCAACACAAAUAUACUUUUUGUCUUAGGCUACGUUUACACUAUAUACAUGUAUACCGGAUGGCUUUCCGUAGCCGCAUGAAAAAGCACCUAUCCGAUACGGAAUGUAUAACUUUCAGAAGAUGAGCGAAAAUGCAAUAAUUCCUCUGAAAAAAGCCGGCGUUCCUAAAAGGUACGGAUAGUUGUUUUUCACGUCGCACUCGCUACAAAGCUAUCCGAUACAAGUGUCAUCGCAUCAAAGAGUGCUUUAUGUUGACUCUACCUAAGUUUCCUCGGGGUACACGCGCUGGAUUUUAUUUCACUCAUAAAAAUCUGUUGACUCUCCUGUAUUGGGCAUUGUAGAUGUUUGCCAAAGGUAUGUGGAGUUGUGUCACUCUGUUGCUGGUAUUUUUUGCAUGCGUUGAUAUCAACGUAGCGAAGACGGUCCGCCAGAGACGUGGUUCGUGUGUUUACAACCAAUAUACCAACGGAUGCAGCACACCAACUGGGUAUGAACCCUACCGAGAAGAAUUCACCCCGGCAUGCAAUGAACAUGAUGUCUGCUACUUUUGUGUAAGUAAUUCUUAAGAUCAGAGAACAGUAAACGUCAUUAUCUUGGGUAAACUUGGC